rnacentral:rRNA from 1 species
UUCUGGCUCAGGAUGAACGCUAGCUACAGGCUUAACACAUGCAAGUCGAGGGGCAUCAUGAUCAAAGCUUGCUUGAUGAUGGCGACCGGCGCACGGGUGAGUAACGCGUAUCCAACCUUCCCCCCAGUAGGGCAUAGCCCGGCGAAAGUCGGAUUAAUACCCUAUGUUUUUCCAAUGAGGACAUCUGAGCUGGAACAAAGAUUUAUCGCUGGGGGAUGGGGAUGCGUCCGAUUAGGUUGUUGGCGGGGUAACGGCCCACCAAGCCCGCGAUCGGUAGGGGUUCUGAGAGGAAGGUCCCCCACACUGGUACUGAGACACGGACCAGACUCCUACGGGAGGCAGCAGUGAGGAAUAUUGGUCAAUGGGCGUAAGCCUGAACCAGCCAAGUAGCCGUGCAGGACGACGGCCCUAUGGGUUGUAAACUGCUUUUAUGCGGGGAUAAAGUGAGGUAUGUAUACCUUUUUGUAGGUACCGCAUGAAUAAGGACCGGCUAAUUCCGUGCCAGCCGCCGC